UUGACUUGAUCAUGGCCUUUGACAUUCGUGACUGUAUUAUUCUGCCAGAUUCGUGACAGCGGAACGUUGCUUAAUUCUUUGCACUGUUAUGAGAAAAGUUGCAUAAUAAGAACAGAAUCUUAAGUACUAGAAUAAAAGAAUAACAGUUGGAAGGGACGUUGGGCAUCUUCAAGUGGGCCUGAGGAACCCAGAGUGUGAGGGAGCCCAUCCAAUGGCUUAUUUGACCGUGUUUUGUCAUCGGGGGGGCGGGAUGGUUUUUGGGGGGUUAUUUUUUAUAUGCACUGUUUUUUUAAAUGUUAUUCUUUUUUUUUUUUCUAUACUGUGUUUUUAUGGUUUCCACCUUUCAGAUCCCACCACUCUGAAGCCUAAUAGCAUCUUCCAGCCUUCAAGAUAAAAUCAUGCAGUCCCAGAGUUGGAAGAAAUCAGGUAGACCAGAGAUGGCAACUCUCGGUGGAGUGGGAGCCAUGAGUGUGAGGAAAAUGUGAGCAAAGCUGAGGAAAUCGUUACUCACCAAUGAACUUCGGAGAAGAGCCGGAGGGGAAAUGAGAACCUGCAGGGGGAGAAAAUGGAGCUGAGCCUUGGAUGUGUUACCCUGAGCUCUUUCGUUCGCUGGAGGUGUGCUGAGAUAAAACCCUUCGGUGAGGAAGAUACCAACUUGCAAAGAAUGAGUGAAAAAGUCAAGGAAGUGGAGGAGAGAGAAGUGGAAGAUAGGGAAAUAACAUUAUUAGUGAUGUUUUGCGUUGGAUGUGGUGAUUCUGCAACCAUCUCACAUUAGACUGGAUCGAGGAUCAGCGCACUUCCUAAAAUCUACAAAACAAUGAAAGGAGGGGUGGUUUCUUUUAAAGUAACAUCAGUGAAGAAAUAAGUGAUGAACCCUACCGCUGGUGAGGAAUCACAGUGCAAGGGAACAGCACGUACAUUGCAAACGGAAAGUCCCAGAUUCAGCUGUUUAGCUCUAAGUGUAAAGGACCUGAAGCAAGCAGCUAGAAAUUCAACUGAAAAGAAAGAUGGUGCCUGGAAGUACACAAAGAUUUGUCAAGCCUUUGGCGCAGCAUAUUUUGCGAAGGCAGGCAGGAUGGUUUGCAAACUAUGGUUUAUCUCUCACCACAUUGUAUGUGAGCUCAUCCAUAGAGGAUUGCACAGCUAGCCGGCUGGGAUUGUGAAGGCGGGUGAAGCUUGGGUAGACCUACAGAUCAUCUGAUGAAGGACUUCCUAGCUAAAAUCAGACUUGAAUAAUACCAGCUGGCUUAUCUACUAGCGUGAAAUUCUUGAGCUGUUGAAAAUUAAUGUAGAAGGAGGGAGUAUCUGUCUGCAGCAGAAGACAACAGAAGAGGCAGGUUCAGCUUGAAUGCUUCCACGUUGGAAUGACAGCAGCAACAUUUAUAGAGA